GGGAAACACAACAAUUCACAUAAGCUUGAAAGACAAUGGGCCAAUUUCUGAUCAGACUGUGGAAAAAGGAGAAGAGAGAACGUAUGGAAGGCAGAAAAAGUAGGGCAGCAAUGCUUUGUUACUGAACAGCGAAGUGGACAAUUCUAUAAAGACUGAAAGAGCUGUGUUGCUGUUUAUGAAUCACUGUUGGAUGAGACUCUAAGAACUGAAGAGGAGUAAUCAGUAAUAAACCUCAAACCUUUGGAGGCUAUUGGCUGCCCAUCAGCACUGCAAAUUUUGGGUACUCUACUUUGUGUACCCAAACAGAAAGAUAUUGGGAGUACCUCUGAGGAUGGGCAUUCCCAUUUACCAUGAGCUACCAUGGGAGCAUUCCCCCACUGAGGUGGGUCUCUAGGCUGGCAUAUGCCUAAAGAAACAAGUCACCAUGAAGCAACACAAGCAGAGGCAAUAUGUGGUUUUUUUACUCUGCAAACAAAAGCAUACCAUGCAGCCAGCAUCCUCAGGCACUGCUGUCCCCACAGAGCUCCUGGAUGGACAAGAGGAGUUCCCUGGAGUGGAGGAAGGUAGGAAUGGAAAGUUUUCCUGAAUGUGUGUUCAUCCCUCUAUAACCAUCCAUACCUGGAGCCAGGGCACUGAAGGGAGCUGUGCUGAAUCACCCAGCUGGAACCUCCUUUUCUUUCGGCAUUUCAAAACCUAAGUGGACUUCCUAAAGGAGGCAUGUCUGGUCUCACACCGUGCUCCAGCAGCAGUGGCCAGAGAGCUCUGUUCUACAAGGCAAAGCAUGUGUGCUCGCCACAUUGUCUUUCACGGUCUUCUUGUGGAAUCAGUGAGAAAUGUAUACUUUUGGUUCCAGAAGAGAACAUGAUCACAACAUCGGGAUUUCCCAUAGGACGGAAAUUCUGAUCCAUCCAUAUAAUCCCAUGAGGGACUCUUGUUCAUGACUAGGAAAUGUGGACUUGUUCCAAGUGCAGUACAGGCUCCAAAAGUCCCAAACCACCAGAAGCUCCCAGAGCCCCAAGAGCCCACAAUCAAAGUAAAAAUCAGAGGGCAACAGAUGGAUGGAGACAGAUGGAGAACCACAAAGAAACCAGGAGACACAACAGGUCAGCCUAAUAACAACCAUCUCAGUGGUUUCCUCUUCAGCUUGCACUCAGAUCUUGCAGACCUGUCUUCCUUAUGCUGUCUUUAACACUUUCAUGUCUUGACACAACCAGAGAAACUCAUAUUUGACCAUCUUAAAAGGACCUUAUGUCUUGGUUGUACAACAGUCCUAGAUAGGAAUUUAAUUCACAUUUGCCUUCAUCCUGUGAGCUCAGAGGCUGGUAAGUAAGAGAUACCAAUCGUAUGUAAAUGCCCUCCUCAUAUGGCUUUUCUAUGGGAUAUGAGAGGUUAAGUCAGAAAAAAAGUAUUGCAUACUUACAGCGAUUAGUAGUAGUUUUCUGAAAAAAAAAAACAAAACAAAAAAAAACCCACAAUAUCUGUUAUUUUUAAAUGAAAAGUUUGAACUAAAGAUAUGUGUUUCAUAUAGAUGUGGCAUGCAUGGCUGGCUAGUAUAUAACCCAUGACCAAGCAUUAGCAGUUCUCAGAGUAGAUAGAGGCUGUAGAUCUGGUAGAAACCAUUAAACACUUUCAUACUCCUAUGAUAAAUGACCACGGGGAGCUAGAAAUUGUGUUGCCUUACAAAAUUCAAAAGUAAUUUUGAUGCUUGUAAACCUCUUUCUCUAGAAAGAAUUAUUAUGAACAUUAUUUGGCCAACAGCAAGCGAAAAACCUUAUGACAGAAGAAAACAAAAGUCUGCUUUAAAAUUGUGAAAGUCUCUAUGGAGAGCAAAAGGGGGUGAAGGUGGCAAAAUAGCUGGCAGCAUAGGACACUCCAACAGCAGGAAAAUCUGAUCUUCCUUGUUAUGUGGGUGAGCGAGGUCACAAACCAGUACAGACUCUGAGAAUAUUCACGUAUUCAUGUUGUGUGUGUGGUUUGAUGACAUUUCAAAUGUCAUUUCUAUAACUAACAGCAGAUUUCUUUCCUGAAACACUGUGCUAGAGGAACAGAUCAACACAUCUUAGCUUAUAGUACAUUUUCAGAUGAGAUCUGCUGAAGGAUGUCCUAUGGAAAUGAGAGAUGAAAGCACUGAAUUUCGAUGGGAUUGGCUUUGCCUCUGCGUACAGCGGUUUCCCUUACAAGCAGAUUUAAGGCUGAUAGAGUAACUGGUGACAACACCAGACUGGAUUUAUUUCUUUAGUACCUCUUAAGCUUUGGUCUGCUGUGACUUCAGUGGGAGCUUGAAUACCACAAUCCAAACAAAAUACAAAGUUCUGCAGUUCAGUUAGCCAUGGUUGUAGUCUAUUGUGUAAUGAGACAAAGAGAAAUGUAGCUCUCCACAAAAUGGAACUGCUGCUGCUAUUUUAUGAAACAGCUGCAUUCAGAAUGCCAGCAGAAGCUGCUGUUUGAGUGUUUUAUUGGGAUUAUCUGUUAGGAAUAAAUUAAAGAUUGCUUCAUUUAAAAUGUGCUGCAGGAACUUGGCAGGUUGAAAAAAAAAUCAAUUUGUCGCCAGAGAUCUUCGUUAAGUCAGUUAUGAUGAGAAGAUGAGGACUUCUGCAUCCUUCCAUCAACAAAAGGAAUAAAUUAUCACAAUAGCUGGAGCUUAGAGCGCUUAGCCCUUGCAACACUCUUUAGUGGAGCAAUAAUAUGGAGCCGUCAGCUGACUUGAGAGUGCAUUUUCUCCAAGAAACUCAAAGAGCAGUUAAAGCUAAUCUUGGCAAUAGGGAUGCAGUCUGUUUUACUGUAUGUUGGCGCUUGACUUGCAUGCCGUAUCACUUGAUCAGGAAAAGUUGGAUGGGCUAUGUAAUUACAUGCAAAUGUUCCUCAGGAUGGAAGCAUCAUUCUGUCAGACUGACAAAAAAAAAAGAUAGGUCCCAUUCUUCAGAUGUGUUCAUUAGAGAAAUAACAACUUCAUUUUUUUUUUUUUUAAAGCUUUAUUUUAGGGAACUCCGUCCUCUGAAAACCGGAAUCAGCCCUGGAGAUUUGUACAUUUUCUUUGAAUCAGUGCCUCCUCCAAAGAGCACAUGCAUGCCAGCAUUUGAAAGCAAUUAUGAGAGACAUUUUAAGAGGAAAUCGGGGACAUGUUGUGGGAAUGAAGGAAGAUAUUUCUCAUUCUUCUUUACUUCUUGGGUUAUAUUGCACAGACAGAUCUCACAUAGAAUGAAAUUCACUCCUGAGCAGAAAGUCAGCACAAGGCAAAUAGGUUUUGCUUAAGCCUGAGGGCUUAGAUGAGAGUUAAGUGGUGAACAGGUCCAGUGACGGCCUGCAGCACAAGUAUGCAUUUUAUUAAUCAAAGAUGUCUCAUUGUUCUGAGCCAGCACUAUCCCACUAAUACAUCCAAUGCAACACUCAGACCUGUUUGAUGGGGUCUCAUUUUUGAAAGCCAGAAAUGUUAGAUGGGGAUAUUUCCGUUGUCUUCUAUUACAAAGAUAAGACUCAGAUUUUGAAUUUUCUUAAAUUUGAUUUCAGUAAAAAACAAACAGAGUAGUGAGUUAUGCUUUUAACUAACUGCACUGUAUUAAAAGCUGCUUUAGUCCCUGCUCUUCAUAGAAGGUGUUCUUGCUUUCAACCAUAUUGUUAAUUGUCUUUCAGUUGAAAUAUGUUCUUUACAGAUAUAAGAGAAGGAUAAUAGAGUUUUUUUCUUCGCAUCAAAGGAUUAUUUAGAGAAGUUCGUUGCCUAAUUCACCACUCCUUAAGUAAGAAAUCUGGGGUUUCAAUUUUAUUUCUUUUUCCCUUGUUCUGAUUUUUUUUUUUUUUAACAGAGACAAAGGCCUGGAUAAAUGCCUACCAGAGCGUGGUUAAAUGUAAAAAUUGGUUUGUUUACAACUCAUACCUGUUGCAUUGAAGAUUUCUAGCUCAACCUACCUAAUAAGACUUCUUCCAGUUGGAUUUUCAGUGAGGAAUAGUAAGCUAUGUUAGACUCUAAAGCUGAAGAUAAUUGUAAAGCCUUUCUGUGUCUUCAGAUUUACUGAGAAACUGCAAAACUGAAGUGCAAGUAUCAUCUCUUCUCCGGGAGAAGUUAAAGGGAAUUAGAUCAACUAACUAGAGGAUGCAGUGCCAAGCUCCAUCAGCAUGCCAGGAUUCAGCCUGCUGUCACUGUCAGGUGCUUUCCAAGCCACUGGCUGCACCGGAGUCUGUUGGUGCUGCAAACCUUGUAAUUGAUGUGCUCCCAGCCAGGCCCUCUGGGAUCCAGAUGUGGUGAGGGUAAAACACAUCAGCCCUACAAAUCUGCCACAUGGGACAGAAACUUUCCAGACCUCGGACUUGACUGUCAGCCCUGUCCUUGCUGGCUUCACACCACAGGCUGCAAAAGCCGUACCCCGCAAGGGAAAGCCUUGGCUGUGACUAGGAACUAGAGCUACCUGUAAUUGCAGAGAUAGAUGGAGGGAGAGCCUUUGUGGCACAGGCCUGUGGCUACCAUCACUGGGGAAGCUGUUCUGGUAUUAACAGCAGUGGGAGAUUUUUACCAGUUGAGAAUGUGACAGAAAUCAGCCAAUGUACCACACUCAGGAAUCAAGCCCAUUAACAGCGAUGAGUUAAGAUGUCCUGCAGCUGAAGGGGGUUCUCUUGCCCCUUAAAGAGAUGCAUGCUCAGUUCCAGAUUUACCACAUCUUUCCAAGCAAAAAUGAGAGCCUUGAAACUAAAUGGAACCCCCAUCUGUGGAGGAGAUAGCUAUUGCAUUUUGCCCCACCUUUCCACAGCUUAUAUGAUCACAGAGAAGAGUGGCUUGGAAAUGACAGCAUUGUCUUGCGAUUCAGGGGAGGUCACACAUGAGGAAUUUUUUCAAACAGCAAGUUAAGGCAAUAGAAUGAAACCAGUGACAUCUGCCACUCACGCUCUCUCCCUCCAUCCUGUUUACCCAUAGCCCCCCCUUUUUCCCUUUUCUUUUUCUAAUGCUCAUGGUUUUCAUCCCAUUCAAUAGCUCCCCCCAGUUCCACUCGCGACCCC
ensembl:lncRNA